CCUACGGGUGGCAGCAGUCGAGAAUCAUUCACAAUGGGGGAAACCCUGAUGGUGCGACGCCGCGUGGGGGAAUGAAGGUCUUCGGAUUGUAAACCCCUGUCAUGUGGGAGCAAAUUAAAAAGAUAGUACCACAAGAGGAAGAGACGGCUAACUCUGUGCCAGCAGCCGCGGUAAUACAGAGGUCUCAAGCGUUGUGCGGAAUCACUGGGCGUAAGGCGUGCGUAGGCGGUUUCGUAAGUCGUGUGUGAAAGGCGCGGCAUCAACCCGCGGACGGCACAUGAUACUGCGAGACUAGAGUAAUGGAGGGGGAACCGGAAGUCUCGGUGUAGCAGUGAAAUGCGUAGAUAUCGAGAGGAACACUCGUGGCGAAGGCGGGUUCCUGGACAUUAACUGACGCUGAGGCACGAAGGCCAGGGGAGCGAAAGGGAUUAGAUACCCGAGUAGUC
rnacentral:rRNA from 1 species